CUUGACAAAAGGAAGAAUAUACUAACUCAAGGGUUAAAGGUUAAUAUUUUGAUUAAAUGAUUAAGUUAGACAUGUUAUAAUGAUUAAUAUAUAAUAUGGACAAGUUAACAAUAAGGGUUAGUUGGUUAGUAUAACAAUAAUAACAACAUGGAACAAGUGAAACCAUAAGUUAGUAUGUACACAGACAAAGCUUCAUUUAUGUGUCAAAUUAUCCAAGUUGGUUGAUA
rnacentral:lncRNA from 1 species